UCCAUAAAUCCACUCUUCACUGUGUUGCUAGAGUGGGAGCUUAUUACUCCACUGGUCAAACCCUACACCCGCUGAAUAAAGUUCAGGUUUGUUAACAUGCAUCACCAGCUCCCUGGCUACCUCUUUAGCUUCCUCGCUCCAUCCCCCGCAGCAUAAUUCAUUCUCCUGCAAUCCUGAGUUGUGUAUAGUUCAGGCCAUACUGUGCUUUCUCUUGGAACGCCCUUUGCUUCUGCUCUGACCUAUUUACCCAGCAACACUCCGCUAAGUUGUCAUUCUUCACGGAACUUUUAUGGAACUCCUUUGUGUUGUGCUAACUGUCCAGCCUUUGAGCAUUCUGAACAUAACCCUCUCAAUUUAAAACACGGUAUUUAUUGCUUUGUGUCACGGUCUCUCUCAUUAGACUUUGCGAAGGCCAGGGGCCUCACAGCAAUCAUUUUCAUACCUACAAGUAUGCGUUCACUGUUUGUUCAACCGUUACUGAACUUAUUAGGCAAAGGUGAAGAUGAUGAGCUCAGGACACACUGCUCUGUUGCCUCAAAGUAACUCUACUGACACCACAGCACUGGAACCAAGGAUGCACAUGAGAAGGCAAAAGCUGUUGAGAUUAUUGAUGAGCUGGACAUAUGGCAUCUUUAGCACAGGGCUCAGCCAGCCUUGCCAGUGGGAACCUAGUGGACUUGUUAAUUUCCUCCACCUUAGAUACAACUAAUAUCUCAUGCCAACCAUUUGGGAAAAUGCUGUCAGAGGCAAAGAGGGCAUAUAAACAUGCAGAGGGAGUCCUCAAACUGCAGAUAUUCAUUGGUAAGUUGAUUUUUGAAAAUUUGGAACACAUUUUACCCGGAAAAAUAAUCUUUUAAGUGGUGACUGGAUUUUUAGGCCAGUCUGCAGAUAGCCUAUUUGCACUUAUAGAGUAAGAGUGACCAAAAAAAAUACACCAUCACCUAUGGUUGUCUUCAUGGGAAACUGUGUUACAGACUUCUCCUGGCUUUAAAAUCACAUGUUCUAAUAAUAAAAUUAUUGUGCGUGGAGACAUACAUAUCACACAGACAUACAUACCUACACAUAUAUGAUAUAUAUGUAUGUUACAUAUUGAAAGUAAUCCUCUUUGAGGGUAAAAUGGGGAAAAUUAAUUAUAGAGCCGUAUGGGAUUAAUAACAUUCAUGUCUAUUUUAUACAUUUCUAGAAUGACUGCAUUAUUAUAAUGAGAAGAAAUCACUUAGAAACCUAGGUCAAGAAAAGGUUAGAUGGCAUAUAUUUAAAAGGGUUGGCAAAUUGUGGCCCACAGGCCAAAUCUGGCUCAGUGCUUCUCUCUGUAACCAUGAGCUAAGAAUGGUUUCUAAAUUCUGAAAUGGUUGAAAAAAAGAUAAGAAAAAUAUUUUGUGAUGCAUGAAAAAAAUCAUAUGAAAUGAAAUUCAAGUUCUAGAAUGUUCUAUUGUCCAAAAAAGUUUACGUGGAUCAUGGCCACGCCCAUGUGUUUUCAUUUUAUCUAUGGCAGACUUUUAGUGCUACAGCAGCAGAGCCGAGCAGUUGCAACAGAGACCAUGUGGCCUGCAAACCUGAAGAUAUUUACCAUCUGGUCUUUUUCUUUUUCCCCUUUUUAACCAUCUGGUCUUUUUUACAGAAAAAGUUUGCGAUUCCUGUACAAUAAUAUUAACUUUUUUCUGAAAGAUGGCUUCAUGGAGAACCUUUACGUACUAUCUCCCACCUUUCUCUGUUAAAUGCUUUACUAUCAGACUAUAACGGGGUGUAAUGUGUUCAUUCGACCAACACUUCGAACAUUCUGUGGACCAGGCUCUGGACAUAAAAACUGAAGAAGGAAAACUAAACGUACAUAAGCAAGGUUUUCCUCGCCAAGAACAACAAAGGAUUCAGCCCUACAGAGGAUUUUAUUUGUUUAUGAGAGACACAGACAGAGAGGCAGAGAUACAAGUGGAGGGAG